rnacentral:misc_RNA from 1 species
AGGUCAGGGGUCUUUGGUACGGGGUAACGAUUAACGUUCCUGUGAAUUCUGCGGUAAGGAUAAGUGCAGAUUAUGUAAAGUUUCGUUGCCGAAAAACUCGAGGGAAAAAAAAAAGUCAAUGGGAUUCAAGGAAGACUUUAAAUCGUACGUGUGAGAGUUUUUUUCGUUUUUAUUUAUUCAGUUGUUCAUAUGAGUGGUGGUUCGAUUGUGCGGGUUGUUAGGUGUACCCAUGAUAAAAAUAAAUAGUUGAGGUAACAAAUUU